rnacentral:snRNA from 1 species
UUGCUCGCUUUGGCAGCACAUACACUAAAAUUGGAACGAUACAGAGAUUAGCAUGGUCCCUGUGCAAAGGUGACACACAAAUUCGUGAAGCGUUCCAUUUUUUU